rnacentral:rRNA from 1 species
AACGAACGCUGGCGGCAUGCCUAACACAUGCAAGUCGAACGAGACCUUCGGGUCUAGUGGCGCACGGGUGCGUAACGCGUGGGAACCUGCCCUUAGGUUCGGAAUAACUCACCGAAAGGGGUGCUAAUACCGGAUAAUGUCUUCGGACCAAAGAUUUAUCGCCUUUGGAUGGGCCCGCGUUGGAUUAGCUGGUUGGUAGGGUAAAAGCCUACCAAGGCGACGAUCCAUAGCUGGUCUGAGAGGAUGAUCAUCCACAAUGGGACUGCGACACGGCCCAGACUCCUACGGGGGGCAGGAGUAGAGAAUAUUGGAGGAUGGGCGAAAGCCUGAUCCAGCAAUGCCGCGUGAGUGAUGAAGGCCGUAGUGUUGUAAAGCUCUUUUACCCGGGAUGAUAAUGACAGUACCGGGAGAAUAAGCACCGGCUAACUCCGUG